AACCUGCGGGAGAUCAUUG
rnacentral:rRNA from 1 species